rnacentral:rRNA from 1 species
UUAGAGUUGAUCCCUGGUUCAGGAUGACCGCUAGCUACAGGCUUAACACAUGCAAGUCGAGGGGAAACGGCAUUGAGUGCUUGCACUCUUUGGACGUCGACCGGCGCACGGGUGAGUAACGCGUAUCCAACCUUCCCAUUACUGUGGGAUAACCUGCCGAAAGGCCGACUAAUACCGCAUAGUCUUCGAUGACGGCAUCAGAUUUGAAGUAAAGAUUUAUCGGUAAUGGAUGGGGAUGCGUCUGAUUAGCUUGUUGGCGGGGUAACGGCCCACCAAGGCGACGAUCAGUAGGGGUUCUGAGAGGAAGGUCCCCCACAUUGGAACUGAGACACGGUCCAAACUCCUACGGGAGGCAGCAGUGAGGAAUAUUGGUCAAUGGACGGAAGUCUGAACCAGCCAAGUAGCGUGCAGGAUGACGGCCCUAUGGGUUGUAAACUGCUUUUGUAUGGGGAUAAAGUCAAUCACGUGUGAUUGUUUGCAGGUACCAUACGAAUAAGGACCGGCUAAUUCCGUGCCAGCAGCCGCGGUAAUACGGAAGGUCCAGGCGUUAUCCGGAUUUAUUGGGUUUAAAGGGAGCGUAGGCUGGACAUUAAGUGUGUUGUGAAAUGUAGACGCUCAACGUCUGACUUGCAGCGCAUACUGGUUUCCUUGAGUACGCACAACGUUGGCGGAAUUCGUCGUGUAGCGGUGAAAUGCUUAGAUAUGACGAAGAACUCCGAUUGCGGAGGCAGCUGACGGGAGCGCAACUGACGCUUAAGCUCGAAGGUGCGGGUAUCAAACAGGAUUAGAUACCCUGGUGGUCCGCACAGU